rnacentral:rRNA from 1 species
UUGACCUCGGAUCAGGUAGGAAUACCCGCUGAACUUAAGCAUAUCAAUAAGCGGAGGAAAAGAAACCAACAGGGAUUACCUCAGUAACGGCGAGUGAAGCGGUAAUAGCUCAAAUUUGAAAUCUGGCUCUUUCAGGGUCCGAGUUGUAAUUUGGAGAGGAUGUUUCGGGCACGGCUACGGUUUAAAUUUCUUGGAACAGAAUGUCAUAGAGGGUGAGAGUCCCGUCUUGAACCGAUUGCUUCGUCCAUGUGAAACUCCUUCGACGAGUCGAGUUGUUUGGGAAUGCAGCUCAAAAUGGGUGGUAAAUUUCAUCUAAAGCUAAAUAUUGGCCAGAGACCGAUAGCGCACAAGUAGAGUGAUCGAAAGAUGAAAAGCACUUUGAAAAGAGAGUUAAACAGUAUGUGAAAUUGUUGAAAGGGAAGCGCUUGUAAUCAGACUUGAGCUCAACAGUUCCCCCUUCGUUCUCGUUGGGUUAUUCUGUUUUGUCCAGGCCAACAUCAGUUCGAGUGGUUGGUUAAAGACUCUGGGAAUGUAUCUACCCUUCGGGGUCGACUUAUAGCCUAGAGUGUCAUGCAGCCUACUUGGACUGAGGAACGCGC